CUAUUGAGAGAUGCACGUAGAAAAUUGAAUGCCAUUCCAGAAAUAUGAUGCAUCAUUGGGCUAUAUAUAGGAAGAUCUGGGGUGGAACCAAGAACCACUCACUUGCCUUCUACAUCUGUCCUGGGAUGGUCACUGAUCUUUCAGUCCUGGCAAUCUGCUCUACCUUGAAUAAUCUUCUGCUCUAGUUCCUGUCUCUCCAUCAUCACCAUGUCCAGCUCUAAACAACGCCUCAUACAGGGCAUGCACCAGGACCUCAGCUGCCCCAUCUGUCUCCAGCUCUUCCAGUCCCCUGUGACGACAGAGUGCGGGCACACCUUCUGCCAGGCCUGCUUGGCCCGUGUGGCCACCGAAGAGUCUGAGGGCAAAACUGCUCCCUCGUGUCCCACCUGCCAAGCCCUCACCAAGGUGGAGCAGCUGCGGAUCAACCAGCAGAUGGAGCAUUUGGUGCAGUCCUUCCGGCAGGUGCCUCGUGAUCACUGUGAAGAACACCUCGACCCGCUCAGUGUUUACUGCGAACAGGACCGGCAGGUGAUCUGUGGGGUUUGUGCCUCUCUAGGCAAGCAUAAGGGGCACAACAUCAUUACUGCUGCUGAGGCCCACCAGAGGAUGAAGAAGCAGCUUCCCCAGCAGCAGGUCCAGCUCCAAGAAGCCCAAAUACGCAAGGAGAAGACAAUUGCUUUGCUGAAUCGGCAAAUAGCAGAAGUUGAGGAAACGGUAUCACGGUUCAAACACCAAGUAGCAGAGCAGCUGGGGGUCAUGCGGUCUUAUCUGGGAGCGCUGGAAUCUUCCCUGGGCCAGGAGGCCGAGAAGGUGCAACAACAGGCCUCUGAGGCCUUGCAAAAUGAACGCAAGACCAUGGCCCGCUACCUGGACCAGCUCAAGCAGAUGGAGAUGGUCCUGGGCGAAGUGCAAGACGAGCCACAGACUGAGUUCCUGAGGAAAUAUUGUCUGGUUGCCAGCAGAUUACAGAAGAUCCUGGGGGAAUCUCCACCUAUUGCCCGCAUGGACAUCCAGCUCCCCAUAAUUUCUGAUGAGUUUAAGUUUCAAGUAUGGAGGAAGAUGUUCCGUGCAAUAAUGCCAGCUUUGGAGAACCUGACCUUUGAUCCAGCCACUGCCCAAGCCAACCUGGUGGUGUCCGAAGAUGGGAAAAGAGUAGAAUGUGUUGAACAUAAACAAGCCGUGAGCACGGAUGACCCACAACGGUUUGACAAGUCCAACUGCCUGGUCUCACGCCAGAGCUUCUCACAAGGAGAACACUACUGGGAGGUGACCGUAGAUGACAAGCCCCGUUGGGCUCUGGGCAUCAUCUCAGCUGAAACUGGGCGCAAGGGCCGCCUUCAUGCCACCCCGUCCAAUGGCUUCUGGCUGGUGGGUUGCAAGGAAGGCAAGAGCUACGAGGCCUAUGUGGAGCACAAGGAGCCCCGGUCUCUGAAGCUGGAGGGAAAACCCAGCCGAAUUGGCAUCUACCUGAGCUUCGACGAUGGCCUCCUGGCCUUCUACGACGCCAGUGAUGAAGACAAUCUAGUCCAGAUCUUUGCUUUCCGCGAGCGCUUUACAGGCACAGUCUACCCCUUCUUUGAUGUCUGUUGGCACGAUAAGGGCAAGAACAGCCAGCCUUUAAUCAUCUACACCCCAGAGUCACAAGAGCGAUAACUAACCAUACUCUGGUAUCUUCUAGACCAAGGGUCUCCAACCUUGGCCUCUUUAAGAUUUGUGCACUUCAACUCCCAGAAUUCUUCAGCCAGCCAAGAUUGGAGACCCCUGUUCUAGACCAGCCUUCUAGACCUAGGUUCCUCUUAAUAUGCUGAGAAUGCAUCAUCUAGCAUCCUAAAAUUCUAGACAAUUGUAAUCCCAAAGGCUCUGGGGUACAUCAAAUGAGCAAAGGCCGCUAUAAAUUCACCCAUUAUCAGCUCAUAUGUAUAGUAGAUGAUAAUUGCGGUCUUCAGAGAAGCUGUUUCUUACUAAAGCUGCACAUUACAUUGUCCUCCCCAGUUACUGGCAAUUUUAACUCCAUUGCACCCCGACUCCUAAAUCAUAGCCACGUUCAAUUUGAUGAAAGAAAUGUCACUGUAUCAGCACCAGUCUGCCAUCUAAAAUUUGGAAUCUUGACAAUUUUCUUGGUUUAGAAAUAAAGGUUUAUUAUCCUUGUACCGUGUUCAGUAAAGAUAAAACACACAAAUGUCUGCAGACUUAGGAAGGAGAGGGGAUGACUGGGGCUCGCCAAAUUCCAGAAAGACAGACUAGUGUUUCUCAACUAUAGUAACGUUAAGAGGCCUGGACUUCAACUCCCAGAAUUCCCCCAGUUAGCAUAGAUUAUAAGGGAUUGGAGAUCUAAAUAGCUCCCUGUCUAUAGCUGCUUUUUCUGUCCUAUUACAUCAGGAGUGUUGAACUCGAUUUCAUUGAAGGCCGCAUCAGGGUAAUAUUUGACCUCGGAGGGCCAGUGGGUGGGCAAGUUCGGGCGUGGCUGUGGCUGUGGUGGCCAUGGGCAUAGCCAUGGUGGCUGUGACACGGGACUCAUGUCGGAGGCAUCUGUGGUGGCCAACUUCUCUGAGACCCUCCCUCACUCUCAUUAUAAUCUAUCUCCCUU